rnacentral:ncRNA from 1 species
CUAAAGGUUUGGUUCUGACCUUAAUAUUAAUUCAAACUAUACUUAUACAUGCAAGCUUCAACACUCCGGUGAGAAUGCCCCUUAUUUACAAUAAUAAAUAAAGGAGCGGGUAUUAGGCACCAAUUAGCCCAUGAUACCUUGCUAAGCCACACCUAUACAGGAUCUCAGCAGUAAUAAAUAUUUAACCAUGAGCGAAAAGCUCGAUUCAGCAAUAGUUUCAUAGAGCCGGUAAAUCUCGUGCCAGCCACCGCGGUUAUACGAGAGACUUAAAUUAAUAUAUGCGGCCCAAAGAGUAGUUUAAGAUUUAUCUAAAAUAGAAUUAAAAACUUAUUUAGCCGUCAUACGCAAACAUAAAUUAUAAAACCAAAAACGAAGGUUACUCUACAUAUACUUGAAUCUACUAUAAUUGAGAAACAAACUGGGAUUAGAUACCCCACUAUGCUCAAUUUUAAACUUUAGGUUUUCCCCGCCAGAGUACUACGAGCCACAGCUUAAAAUUCAAAGAACUUGGCGGUGCCCUAUACCCACCUAGAGGAGCCUGUUCUAUAAUCGACACCCCCCGAUAAACCUCACCAUCCCUUGCUAUAUCAGCCUAUAUACCACCGUCCUCAGCUUACCUUUUAAAAGAACAAAAGUGAACAAAAUAAUUUUAAAUAAAAAAGUCAGGUCAAGGUGUAGCACAUGGGAUGGAAAGAAAUGGGCUACAUUUUUUAUUAUAAAAAACACGAAAUACCUUAUGAAAUAAAGUAUGAAGGAGGAUUUAGAAGUAAAAAGAAAAAAGAGUGUUCUUUUUAAAUUGGCAAUAGAGCACGCACACACCGCCCGUCACCCUCUUCAAUACACAAUAAAUUAAAUAAAUAUAUAAUUAAAUAAGAAGAGGUAAGUCGUAACAUGGUAAGUCUACCGGAAGGUGGCCUUGGACAU